rnacentral:rRNA from 1 species
AGUGAACGCUGGCGGUAGGCCUAACACAUGCAAGUCGAACGGCAGCACAGUAAGAGCUUGCUCUUACGGGUGGCGAGUGGCGGACGGGUGAGGAAUACAUCGGAAUCUACUCUUUCGUGGGGGAUAACGUAGGGAAACUUACGCUAAUACCGCAUACGACCUACGGGUGAAAGCAGGGGAUCUUCGGACCUUGCGCGAUUGAAUGAGCCGAUGUCGGAUUAGCUAGUUGGCGGGGUAAAGGCCCACCAAGGCGACGAUCCGUAGCUGGUCUGAGAGGAUGAUCAGCCACACUGGAACUGAGACAAGGUCCAGACGACUACGGGAGGCAGCAGUGGGGAAUAUUAGGCAAUGGGCGCAAGCCUGAUCCAGCCAUACCGCGUGGGUGAAGAAGGCCGUCGGGUUGUAAAGCCCUUUUGUUGGGAAAGAAAAGCAGCAGGUUAAUACCCCGCUGUUCUGACGGUACCCAAAGAAUAAGCACCGGCUAACUUCGUG